AAGAAUUUAAAGAGUGCACUUCAUUGUGACUCGACAUUUUCUACAAUUCACCCUAGUGCACUGUAAUACCUUUUUAAUUAAACUCUACAAAGUUAUUGAAUGUAACACUUUUUUAUAAAGAAAUA
rnacentral:misc_RNA from 1 species